rnacentral:rRNA from 1 species
AUUGAACGCUGGCGGCAUGCCUUACACAUGCAAGUCGAACGGCAGCACGGGAGCAAUCCUGGUGGCGAGUGGCGAACGGGUGAGUAAUAUAUCGGAACGUGCCCAGUCGUGGGGGAUAACGUAGCGAAAGCUACGCUAAUACCGCAUACGAUCUAUGGAUGAAAGCGGGGGAUCGCAAGACCUCGCGCGAUUGGAGCGGCCGAUAUCAGAGUAGGUAGUUGGUGAGGUAAAGUCUCACGAAGCCGACGAUCUGUAGCUGGUCUGAGAGGACGACCAGCCACACUGGGACUGAGACACGGCCCAGACUCCUACGGGAGGCAGCAGUGGGGAAUUUUGGACAAUGGGCGCAAGCCUGAUCCAGCAAUGCCGCGUGCAGGAUGAAGGCCUUCGGGUUGUAAACUGCUUUUGUACGGAACGAAACGGCGAGCUCUAAUACAGUUUGCUAAUGACGGUACCGUAAGAAUAAGCACCGGCUAACUACGUGCCAGCAGCCGCCGUAA